rnacentral:rRNA from 1 species
CCUACGGGAGGCAGCAGUGGGGAAUUUUGGACAAUGGGCGCAAGCCUGAUCCAGCCAUGCCGCGUGCGGGAAGAAGGCCUUCGGGUUGUAAACCGCUUUUGUCAGGGAAGAAACGCUCUGGGUUAAUACCCCGGGGUAAUGACGGUACCUGAAGAAUAAGCACCGGCUAACUACGUGCCAGCAGCCGCGGUAAUACGUAGGGUGCAAGCGUUAAUCGGAAUUACUGGGCGUAAAGCGUGCGCAGGCGGCUGUGCAAGACAGAUGUGAAAUCCCCGGGCUCAACCUGGGAACUGCAUUUGUGACUGCAUAGCUAGAGUACGGCAGAGGGGGAUGGAAUUCCGCGUGUAGCAGUGAAAUGCGUAGAUAUGCGGAGGAACACCGAUGGCGAAGGCAAUCCCCUGGGCCUGUACUGACGCUCAUGCACGAAAGCGUGGGGAGCAAACAGGAUUAGAUACCCUGGUAGUCCACGCCCUAAACGAUGUCAACUGGUUGUUGGGAGGGUUUCUUCUCAGUAACGUAGCUAACGCGUGAAGUUGACCACCUGGGGAGUACGGCCGCAAGGUUGAAACUCAAAGGAUUGACGGNNGAGAGAGCGAGACGACGACGAGGGAGGAGG